rnacentral:lncRNA from 1 species
GUUUGCUGCGGUAGGAACAUGGCGGAUCGGCUCACGCAGCUUCAGGACGCUGUGAAUUCGGUGAGGAAUUUCAUUCGAUUAGCCUCUGUCUUUCUCUUUCUUGAGGUAAAGCAAGGGAGGAAAGGGGCCCAAGAGGCAAAACUUGAAAGUGGGGAGCGGACUGAGAGACAGGGCUUCGGCAUAAAGCGCUCUCUCGGGAGGCGCCACCGCGAACUCGGAGGUUUGAGGCCGGCUGCCGGGCGGUGCUUGAAGGUGCGGGAGGGAGCAGACUCUUUCGCUUGAGGAGACCGGGAAGAUCGUUCUUGUCCGGCUUGCAGAUCAGUUUUGUAAUGCCAUUGGAGUAUUGCAGCAAUGUGGUCCUCCUGCCUCUUUCAAUAAUAUUCAGACAGCAAUUAACAAAGACCAGCCAGCUAACCCUACAGAAGAGUAUGCCCAGCUUUUUGCAGCACUGAUUGCACGAACAGCAAAAGACAUUGAUGUUUUGAUAGAUUCCUUACCCAGUGAAGAAUCUACAGCUGCUUUACAGGCUGCUAGCUUGUAUAAGCUAGAAGAAGAAAACCAUGAAGCUGCUACAUGUC